rnacentral:tRNA from 1 species
GUAUUGGUGGUUUAGUGGUAGAAUUCUUGCCUUCUAUGCAGAAGACCUGGGUUCAAUUCCCUGCCAAUGCA